ACCUGAGUGGUUUAAUUGAUAAAAUACUGAUUUGUGGUGUCAGUGAUGUGUGUUUUGUGCCUCGGGUU
rnacentral:tRNA from 1 species